rnacentral:rRNA from 1 species
AUGCCGCCAGAUCGGGAGAUUGAGUUUUUGAUUGAGUUGCUACCAGGUACAGGACCUAUCUCCAAGAGGCCGUAUCGGAUGCCCGCUAAUGAUUUGGAGGAAGUCAAGAAACAGAUUAAGGAGUUGCUAGAGAAAGGGUAUAUUCGCCCGAGUUCAUCACCUUGGGGAGCCCCAGUACUCUUAGUAGAGAAGAAGGAUGGAACCUUGAGGAUGUGUGUGGAUUACCGCUCUUUGAACGAGGUGACCAUCAAGAACAAGUAUCCCUUACCGAUGAUCAAUGACUUGUUUGACCAGCUAGAAGGAGCUAGUGUUUUCUCCAAGAUCGAUCUUCGAUCGGGUUAUCACCAAUUGAAGAUCCGUGAGAAGGAUAUACCCAAGACAGCUUUUACUACAAGGUAUGGGCUUUAUGAGUAUACAGUCAUGUCCUUUGGUUUGACUAAUGCCCCUGCCUAUUUUAUGAGCAUGAUGAACAAGGUGUUCAUGGAGUUCUUGGAUAAGUUCGUUGUGGUAUUCAUUGAUGACAUAUUGGUUUUCUCCAAGAAUGAGGAGGAACACACUGAACAUCUGCGCUUGGUUCUGGAGAAGCUCAGAGAACAUCAACUUUAUGCCAAGUUCAGCAAGUGUGAGUUUUGGCUCAAGGAAGUCGGAUUCCUUGGACAUGUUGUGUCAGGUGAAGGGAUUGCAGUGGACCCUACCAAGGUAGAGUCAGUCACAGAAUGGAAUGCACCCACCAUAGUUGGCGAGAUUCGCAGUUUCCUUGGACUUGCAGGAUAUUACCGGAGAUUUAUUGAAAAUUUCUCUAAGAUUGCAAGGCCCAUGACAAAGUUGUUGAAGAAGGACACCAAGUUCGUUUGGACUGAAGAGUGUGAAGCCAGCUUUCAAGAGUUGAAGAAGCAUUUGGUUACAGCCCCAGUGCUAAUCCUACCUGAUGUACACAAGGACUUUCAGGUGUAUUGUGAUGCUUCACGUCAGGGACUUGGAGGUGUCCUUAUGCAGGAGGGAAAAGUUGUAGCUUAUGCUUCACGACAACUU